rnacentral:rRNA from 1 species
AAAUGGCUGCAGUAUUUUAACUGUACAAAGGUAGCAUAAUCAUUAGUCUUUUAAUUGGAGGCUUGUAUGAAUGGUUGGACGAAAUAUUAACUGUUUCAUGUAAAAUUAUUUUGGAAUUUUAUUUUUUAGUUAAAAAGCUAAAAUUUAUUUAAAAGACGAGAAGACCCUAUAGAUCUUUAUAUUUAAUAUAUUAUAAUUAUUUAGAUUAUUUAAAUUAUGAUUAUGUUAAUUAUUUUGUUGGGGCGACAUUAAAAUUUAAUUAACUUUUAAUUUUUAUUUACAUUAAUUUAUGAAUAUUUGAUCCAUUAAUAAUGAUUAAAAAAUUAAGUUACCUUAGGGAUAACAGCGUAAUUUUUUUGAAGAGUUCAUAUCGAUAAAAAAGAUUGCGACCUCGAUGUUGGAUUAAGAUAUAAUUUUGGGUGCAGAAAUUCAAUUAUUAAGUC